CUUUCGACAUUGAGUUCAUAAUUUUCAUUGAUUUUAUAUGUAUACUGGCCUUUAUCAAAUUAUCGGUAGAUAUAAACGUGCCUGAAUAAGAUUGGCCCUUUUAAAAAAAUAAAACAUUAGGCGGGAACCGCAUAAAUCUUGACAGAUGUCACCGUGAAAAAAAAGAUAUAAUCGGCAUUAUGGAAAAACUAGAAAAAGCAACCAUAUAACCAAGCUGUGAUAAUUUUAGGAAUUUGUGUAUUGUAUUGUUAAUAUCGACUGUGAUUGUAACCCAAACUGUUCAGUAUGAGAUUGGCAUUGUAAUAAAACAACGAGCAAGGAGAAGUUCUUUCAUUUAAGACCAGAACAUAGCCUUCAGUUCAGCAAGAGGGAUCAAAGGCUUACUGUCGCCUAAACCACGUCCACAACUUUAUGAACGGCAGAUUGGAUGGUGGUACUGAUUGAGGAGGAGGAUCAGUACAGCUAGCAAUUAAUGCUGAUGAACUUAGCUGCUGCACUAGGAUAAAACAGCAGAGAGGUCCAGGAUAUGGCCAUGAAUCAAGGAUGAAGAACCCGGCACAAAUUAAUGCUGAUGAUGGUCUUAGCUGAGGCUUUAGGCUAAGACAUCAGGGAGGUCAAGGAUACGGUCAUGAUUUAAGGAGUGCAUUGGGUUCAAGGAUGGAGAACCCGGCACAAAUUAAUGCUGAUUGUCUUAGCUGUGGUGUUAGGCUAUGGCAUCAGGGAGGUCAAGGAUACAGUCAUGAUUUAAGGAGUGUGUUGGGUUCAGGGAUGGAGAACCCGGCACAGAUUAAUGCUGUAGGUCUUAGCUGUGGUGUUAGGCUGAGACAUCAGGCAGGUUGAGGACACGGCCAUGAUUUAAGGACUGCUUUGGGUUCAAGGACGGAGAACACAAAUGGUUUCAAGAUUUUAGGACGAGUGGUUUCUUGGUUUUGUUUGGAGCAACUCUUAUAAGGAAGGUUGGAGAAGUGAGCACUGGAGGUUGAGGGACUAUUUUUCAACAUCAUCUGGGUCUGGUGGCAGUUCAUCACCUCAACUUAGGAAAUGAUGUCGCGGAUCAAGUAUAGUGUUAUAUUAAAUCAAUUCCUUAGUAUUCUUGACAAGGUCAAGAGUUCAGACAAACAUAAGUUAUCCUAUAGGGUAGCUAAGACUUGUUAUCAAGGAUUAUCCACCUUUUUAUUUACAUGGGAUGGAGAGAGAAAUUUAUAGAAUCCUUUCCUUGUCGAGAAGACUAUGAUAAACUUCUUUCAUAUAUGUAAUUUUAGUAAGGAAAGUAAAACAUCAUGUGAAAAGAUAGGAUAUCUUGAAAUUUAUUGCCAUAGAAAUAAAAACACUGAUUAAAGGAAUGAAACUCAAACAACUACUAGUGAUAGGACGUAUUUGUGAAAUUUGUAAGGUGUCAGAAUCGGUGCUCGCGGUGAUUUCAGUCAAAGGAAAUAGUAAGUCCAAUGUACUUAGGAUAUGUUUAGGAAAGUGAACGAUAGAGGGCGUGAAGGGCAAUUGAACGCAAAACUGACGCGUACAAAUAUAUACCGUGGUGCAAGUUGUUACUAGACGUCACUAUUACCAUUUACCACUGCAAACUGGUUGGCUGGGUGUAAGUAUUUCGCUAGAUGUCGCUGUACCAUCUGCAAACUAGCGAAAGGCGUUCUACGUAUGGUUAGUUGUAUUUAAUUGGCUGUGAUUUCUUGGAGAGAUGGGUGUUGAUAAAUAAUAAUAAAUAAAUAAAUAAAUAUUAUAGGACAUUCUUACACAGAUCACACAGUGGUUGAAAAAUUGCAUUUGAUCUUUUAAUGUGCUAAUGUUCUGGAUAGUGUUCGCGCCUGGAGGCUUUUACACAUGAUGAUUGUAAUUUGGUUGUAUUAGGCUCGGAUUCUGUGUGAAAAAUAAACCUAAUUAAAAGUCCCGUCAUAAAUAUGUGACAUUCCAUGUCAAAAGGGUGCACAUGCUUUGUGUGUUAUAAGGAACCUUAAUAAUAGAUGGCGAUGCAUUCGAAUAUCUUGAUAAGUUGAUAACUCUAUCAUACUAUUCAAUUUUCAUAUUUAGAUUGUCGCGCUGACAAUGUUGUGUUACAUUUCAAACAAUUCAUUAAUAUCAUGGCAUGAUCAAUUAGUCAUUUGUAGGGUUCCGUAUUUCAAUUUAUUGUGUGAUGCAUUUUCAUUGGAUAAAGCAGUUAUUUGUUCGGGGAUCCAAUUCUAAAUUUUUGGGCCAACGGUAUAAUAUGUCCUUUUGGUAGAUUUGGUCAGUCUGAAGUUGGAUGUUUUUGCCACGCCCCUAUUCCUGUUCCUUAAGCGUCUCAAGUUGACGACUCUGUGUGGAAAUAUGUCAAUGUGGGUUCUUACGAGCUUUAAAAUGUUAAAAUAUAUUGCGAUGGUAAUGUCAUGGUUCAUAAUGAUAUAUAAAUAGUUGUCGAGCUGGCAAACCGGAGGGCGAGUUGGCUAUUAUUCUUAUAGCUCGCUUCUGCAACACGAGGACACCAUGCCGGUCAGCGACGACGCUUCUGAAAUUCUAGACUAGUUUGGCACAGAAUGGAAAAGGACAAAAUAACUACUUCGUACUGCUGCUGCAGAAUUAUGCUGGACUCCUAGACACCCCUAGAGUAUGUAGAGGACCAUAGAGGACUACAUCUACCUGAGGACACUUUAAUUUCAUUUAAACAAGACUUAGAAAAAGAAAUUGAAAGAAGAGUAAAUCGAACAUGGAACAAGUAUUGGUCAUUAAAGGAAAUUUCAAAGGUAAAAAUGUCUACAAAACAAAAAUGAAGACUAAAGCAAUGGAAAUUUGCCUAUUUAUUACCCUGCCUUAUAUAUGCAUGCCAAACCUGGCCCACUAGGAGAGAAACAUUUAGGAGAAUAAAAGCAUGUCAGGGAGGAGUUCAAGGAGGCUACCUAGGACUGAGACUGGAAGAUGGAGUAAAAAAAUAAACGUUCGAAAGAGGACCGGGGCAAAUGAGCAGUUAAGCAGGUAUUACGCUUUAAAUGGAGAUAGGCCGGACACGCAAGGAACCGAGGACGGACACUGGCCAAAUGUGGUAAGCGAGUGGCUAACCCAGGGAAAGAGAAGAAGUGGAAAACCACUCAUAAGAUGGAGCGACGGCAUAAAAAAAAAUAGUAGGCUACAGCUGGCCAGAAGUAGCAAAAGGAAGAGAAUGCUGGAAAGCAUUGGAGGAGGCUUUACCGUUCAGGGUGGUCCUUAUGAAGAUGAUGAAGAAGAUAAAAAAAAACAUAACUGUAAAUAUUUAUCAAGAAAAUAAAAGCUUAUAUUAUAUUAUUAUAUGUUUGUGCUUGAGGAAGAACAAGGACAGUAUUUUGGGUGCGAAACAGAUUCCUGCUAACUUAGUGCGUGCAUACUAAUUCAAUUUGGGUGUCCCAUUUUAGCAAUUGGUCGAGGGUAACGCUCAAAAUUUGGCAGAGGUGACGUGCGGAAGGAUUGUGUUGUUCAUGGUAACUACUGGCGGUCUCCUUCCUAGGUUAAAGUGGAGAACCUGAGUUAUUGAUACAUUUAAGGACGAGCCCAUUAACGAAACCAAUGUACUAGGAGUUUAUGUACGUCACGGGUGAUUGACGUCUUGAAGCUAUCGUUGUUCGGAGCAGUUAGUAUGUCGUCAGCAAAAACAUACAUUUGUAUUAGAAAGCAUAGAUUGGGCCAUGGACGAGCCCUAGGGGAUCCCAAUAUCUACAGAACCACAGUCAGAUUUUACCGAACCACUAUUUAUUACAACGGAUUGCUGUCUUUCCUAUAAGAAAUCGGCCAUGAACUUUAAAACAGAGGCACCUGGACCGUGGUGCUCAAACUUUUUGAUUAGGACGUUGUGAUCGCAAAGGUCAAAAGCAUUCGUCAUGUCGCAAACGACAAUGGUUACAUGUAAAUGGUUCUCUUUAAUAAUUGAGACACAUGAGCGAUUUCGUCGAUAGGCAAAUUGUUUUGUGUGUAUUAAUUGAAACUUUUCUAAAAAGUUAUGCGGCCGAUUACUCACUCCCGCUUUUAAAACUUUGGACAUAGUGGGAAUUAUACUUAUUGGCCUAGGUAUAGUUCCUCAACUCAUCUUUCUGACUUUUGCCUUUAUAAACGGGAACGACUGUUACAUUUUUAAGUAUGGUGGGUAAAUACCUACUUUAAUAAUAAAAAAAUGUUAGUUAACUGAACUAUGCCUAGGUAGUCCAACUUUGAGCAUUAGCAACAUAGUUGAGGUAUCAUAUACAUACAUAUAUACCACAGGUGUUUUUCUUGUAACAAUAUUUGUCGCUAUAUGAUUUUAUACAACUCAUCAAAGGUAAACCGAGACCGAUAACUUAACGGAAACGGGACUUGAGGUGCACGAAUGUGUAAGAGGUACUUCAUUAGUCAGUUCCGGGCGAGCGAUAGGUGCAUUUGCAGCAGAUAAAAAAAAAUUGAUAUCUUAGCUAACCGGUUCCGCGAUGUGUAUUGUUCAUCCCGGCUAUCUUUUAACGAGUCCAGAUUGCAUUGUCGCUUGCUGGAGACGCGUGUCGUGACGGUGUUUACGAUUUGCCAGAGAGUGUUUAGUUGAUAACCACUACUUUGUAACGUUUUAGCGUAGUAUUCGCGUUGUGCGAUGUGCGUGUGAUAGAGAUUGUUUAAAUUAUUAAUAUUUUGAUUGUGAUAUAAUUAGUUUCAAUAUCUCAUUACUAUGCGGGUGUUUUUGAGCGAUUUCAAUUAACUGGACGAGAAGUUUUUUUUUUUUUUUUAUUAUUAAGUCGUUUGUGACCCACGGAUAGUUAUAUUUCUUGUGUGUUUGUACAAGACUGUAUGGAAAACAGAUACUGGCAACGUUAUUUGAAAUAUAAUGGAUGUUAAAUGUGUGAUUUGAGCAUUUUGUUAGAUUUUUGGCCAAUCAACUGAAUAAAGAUGUUUUUUUUAUAUACUCUAUGACAGUAGUUACGCUAUACAUGUUAAGUUUAUUGGAUUAAAUUUCUUGUUGUGUUUCGGAUUAAAUUAUUAUUCCAUACGACUAUCGGUUUUGUUAUAUCUUAUGAUCUAUUUUUGUUUGUUAAUGUAAAAUUGAAUGACAAUGUUGGUAUGCCUAUAGGUGCAAAAUUUAAUAAGUAGGUACAAAUUCAUUGUUUUUUUUUAUCGCUGAUCUCUAAGCAUAUUAUCUAAUUGAUAGUUGAUACUCGUAGUUCCAGUCGUGACACUGAGAAAUGCUCAAGGCGAAGGGACUCGCUUAACAACGAGGAUGGCCGAUGUACUUAUUGCACUCUUCCUGUUACUGUUGUAUAGUCGUAUUAUUAUUGUCUGAAAAAUGGAGCCUUUGAUUUUUUUUUAUUGUUAUUAUUGAUGUUAUUGAUAAGUUUGCUAUUGUCAAAACUCGUAAAUUUUAUUGUAUAGUUGUGUUAUCAUUAACAAGCAUGUCAACACCUGGAGGAUUAGGUAUGUUACCAUUACCGUUGUAUCAGACGAAUGAUUAUUGUCUGAAACAUGCAGCUUUUGAUUUAUUUGUUGUUAAUUUAUGUUUUUGAAUAGUUUUCUAUUGUUGAAACUCGUAACUUUUAUUGAAGUUAUGUUAUCAUUACAAGCAAUGUUCAAUGAUAUGUUAUCAUUACCACUGUUGAUCUCUAAACUAGUAGGCAUAGGAAGUAGGUUUGUGUUAUGUCAACAACCUAGGGAUCGGUUGCACCAAUCCGUCUGUUAACGAAUUAAACGUUUGUAAUAUUUUUGUAUGGUAAUGUCCGUAGACUUCUGCUGCGAGACGUUGAUGUGCCUGCUAGCUGUUGUCUGCGGGUGAUGCAACUGAUCCUAAGCGAAGGGCCUCGCUUACACAGGAAGGCCGAGCUGUUAGCUUUCGACAUUGAGUUCAUAAUUUUCAUUGAUUUUAUAUGUAUACUGGCCUUUAUCAAAUUAUCGGUAGAUAUAAACGUGCCUGAAUAAGAUUGGCCCUUUUAAAAAAAUAAAACAUUAGGCGGGAACCGCAUAAAUCUUGACAGAUGUCACCGUGAAAAAAAAGAUAUAAUCGGCAUUAUGGAAAAACUA